UACGUAGGGCGCAAGCGUUUGUCCGGAAUUAUUGGGCGUAAAGAGCUCGUAGGCGGCUUGUCACGUCGAUUGUGAAAGCCCGAGGCUUAACCUCGGGUCUGCAGUCGAUACGGGCUAGCUAGAGUGUGGUAGGGGAGAUCGGAAUUCCUGGUGUAGCGGUGAAAUGCGCAGAUAUCAGGAGGAACACCGGUGGCGAAGGCGGGUCUCUGGGCCGAUACUGACGCUGAGGAGCGAAAGCGUGGGGAGCGAACAGG
rnacentral:rRNA from 1 species